rnacentral:rRNA from 1 species
UCCAGACUCCUACGGGAGGCAGCAGUGGGGAAUAUUGGGCAAUGGGCGCAAGCCUGACCCAGCAACGCCGCGUGAAGGAGGAAGGCUUUCGGGUUGUAAACUUCUUUUCUCAGGGACGAAGCAAGUGACGGUACCUGAGGAAUAAGCCACGGCUAACUACGUGCCAGCAGCCGCGGUAAUACGUAGGUGGCAAGCGUUAUCCGGAUUUACUGGGUGUAAAGGGCGUGUAGGCGGGAAAGCAAGUCAGAUGUGAAAACCAUGGGCUCAACCUGUGGCCUGCAUUUGAAACUGUUUCCCUUGAGUGUCGGAGAGGUCAUCGGAAUUCCUUGUGUAGCGGUGAAAUGCGUAGAUAUAAGGAAGAACACCAGUGGCGAAGGCGGAUGACUGGACGAUAACUGACGGUGAGGCGCGAAAGCGUGGGGAGCAAACAGGAUUAGAUACCCCAGUAC